rnacentral:misc_RNA from 1 species
AAGAGACGUUGCCCUUCGGGGUAUACCUCCCACCCUUUGUUUAUUAUACCUUUGUUGCUUUGGCGGGCCGUCCUCGGACCACCGGCUUCUGCUGGUCAGUGCCCGCCAGAGGACCUAAAACUCUGUUUGUUAAUAUUGUCUGAGUACUAUAUAAUAGUUA